GCGACCCCAGCUCAGGCGGGGCCACCCGCUGAGUUUAAGCAUAUCAAUAAGCGGAGGAAAAGAAACUA
rnacentral:rRNA from 2 species